rnacentral:lncRNA from 1 species
UUGGCGUUAUGAAAAACUAAUUAUGGGGAUCGGAGUAUUUAAACCCGUCACCCUGGUGAAGCCCUAACCCUAACAUCUUUAUGUCUAGCCGCAACUUGUACCUCUCGCUUCCAGCCUCCAAGCUCUCGGCCGCCACCUUCUAGCCGCCGUGACGCCGCUGCUAUCACCAGAGAUGCUUCCCCGACGAGUGCCAUUGAACCUGUGACUUGCUGAAGACCGACCAAAUCGCCUCCGAACCAUGGUCGGAAUCGCGAGUCCUACCAAGCUACCGCCGCUGGUGGUGUGAAGAUCUGCGAGGUCACAAUCUUGUUCCGUCGGUGUCACCACUGUGGACGAGGACUCAAAUCGACCACCACGUCUGUUGUAGCUAUCCAUAUCGCUAUUCAUCUUAUUCUUUUCUAUUUACCAUGUCGCCUGCCGCCUCGUGGGCGGGGGAGCUCGUGGCGUUCCUUCUAUCACCGGAGAAUAAGGGCAUGGUUCAGGGCUUGUGUUUGCGACGUGAACGCGCUGUGGGGGAGUUCUGUCGAGUUAGGGUCGCGAGAACCACCAUUGCAGCUGACCAUGGUGGUUGUCACCGUGAAACGGCCACUGCUGCCUCCGUAUGUCACCAGGAGGGUGGCUAAGUGAUUCAACCAGAAGUAUGGAUGGGUGUGCUUUUGUUUCCUCGGUGGACAUGUGUGUGUAUAGUGUAGCUUGGCCGGAAAAACCGAGAACCACCACCACCGGCCACCACAAGGUGGUUGUGUGUGUAUGUUUAUAUUUGUAUGUGUGAGUGUGUGUUAUUGAGUUGUAAAGUGUAAUGAUGCCCAAAAUAAUAAUAGAAAACUAUAACCACCACCAUGAGAUGGUGGCUGCCGCCUCCUGCUACCACCGGCCACCGUGUCGGGUGGCGGUGUGCUUGCCUCAUUGAGUUUGAUUCGUUUGGGGUGCUUGAAACCCUAAUGGGCCUUGUAAGCCCUAAUGGACCCCAUGAAGCUUAAUGGACCUAAAAGCCCAAGCAUGUGACUAAUGGGCUUAAUGAUAUUCUAGUGGGCCUAAUAUGCCGAAUAAAACCCUAAUUGACCUAAAAGCCCAACAAAUAGAUAAAUGGGCUAAUAUUUGGCUUGGAAACCCUAAUUAGGGUUUGGAAAACCCUAAUACCAAUAAAACCCUAAUUUUGAGAAUUUAUCGGGACACACGGGAAUUAUUUAAUAACUUGAGAUAUUAAAUAAUAAUCAUUGGCAAAAAUUAAUCUAAGCAAUAUUGGACUUAAUGGAUUAAGUCCAUAGUGGAUUAAGUCCUUAAUGGGUUAAGUGAGAAACACUUAACCCUAAUCAUCAUUUUAUGUGGAACCCUAAUUUCACUUGGUCCUUGAGUUGGGCCUUUCCAUUGGGCCUUGGUGAUGGGAUUAUUAAUGGGCCAUCCAAGAAUAAUCAUAUGGAUUAGAAUAUGUUGUUGGACUUUAGGGUAAGGCUCAUAUGAGAGUUUGGGCCCAAUUUGGAAAAUUGGGCCAUAGAUGGACCACAGUUUGGGUCUUAAUGAUUACAUGAUGUCAGGCCUUUGAAUAAGACCAUGUAUAGUCUUGGGCUCAAUUUAGAAAAUUGGGCCAUAUGUUGGGAUUUGAUUCCUAAUUGACUUUGGGCCUAUGGAUUGGGCCUUGGGCUUGAAUAGACCAAGCUUGGGGUAUUGUAGUAAUUAUCCAAAGAAUGAACUUAUGGUUAUGUGUUGGGAUCCAAUUAUUAAUUGGGUGAUGUUUUGAUAUUGACAGAUCGGGAUUCUGUCAUCCAACAACUGGGAUUGUGUCUACGGGACUUCAGCAAUGUGAGGUGAGUUACCUUCCAGUAGAAGUGGGUCUAAGGCCACAAUGUCGGCCCACUAGUAGGAGCUGUAUGAUAGAUGAUUGUCUUUGUGAUAAUCAUCUAGGUUUGCUACUACCUGAUGUGUUUUAUGUGUUAGCAUGAUAUGAUGUUAUGUGAUAGUGGUAGUAGAGGGAAUAGUCCCCGGUUACUGGUCGAUAGGGCCGAAGGGGUAGUUUAGUACCAUCUAUGCUAGACAGAUUAUGAUACAUGUGCUAUGAUAUUAUGUGGUAGUAGUAGGGGUGAAAUAGUCCCCGAAUACCGGUUGAAAGAUAUCGAAGGGGUAGGUCGGGCACCCAGAUAUGCCUGACAAUAUAUUCAUGUAUAUUAUGUUAUGUUAUUAUGUGGUAGUGGUAGGGGUGAAAUAGUCCCCGGUUACCGGUUGAAAGAUACCGAAGGGGAGGUUAGCUCCUUGUUACCGGUUGAAAGAGACUGAAGGGGAGGCCAGCACCCAGAUAUGCUAGGUGGUUACCGGUUGAAAGAGACCGAAGGGGAGGCCAGCACCUAGAUAUGCUAGGCGGUUACCUGUUGAAAGAUACCGAAGGGGUAGGUCGGGCACCCAGAUAUGCCUGACAGUAUGUUAGUAGUAUGGUAUGUGGUAUGAUAGGGGAACUCACUAAGCUUCGUGCUUACGGUUUAUAGUUUUGGUUUUAGGUACUUGUUUUCAAAGGAUAGGAGCUGGCUUGAUCGCAGCGCAUCACACCAUGUUUUUCGCACACGAGAUCUUUGGGAUUACACUCUGAUAUAAUUUUAUGAUACUAUGUUUUGAUUAUUGACACUUUGGUUUUGACAUGAGAUAUUAUUAUGAAUGUUUUUAUACUAAUGGUUUUAUGAAAUAACUUAAUUAAAACGAAAAUUUUUGUGACAUCCCCAUUUUCACGGCCAGAAAAGACCGAUUUGUUUAUGUUUUUUUUUAAAUAAAAUCAGGGUAAUCAUUUGAUUAAAAGAGUUGCGGAAUUUCUCCACAAAACAAAAUAUGAUAAGAAUUUCUCAAAGCAUUUCUUUAAAGAUGUAACACCCGGAUUCUCAGGUAUUAAUUACAUAAGAAUUAUUGGAUGAAUCCCUACUUGACGAGUCGGUCGACCUACUCGUUGAGUAGCAGCAGGGUGGGACUGCGUGUUAAGUGACCUACUCGACGAGUCCACUUUGGGACUCGGCGAGUAGGAGCUGGCAGAUGAAACCCUAAAUCCCGGGGUUUGCACCCCUAUUUAAAGGAGCCUCAUCCUCCUUUGGCCUCCUUGCAGUCUUUGAGAACCCUUAAAACCCUAAUACGUGUGUGUGUGCCAUUGUGUGAUUGAAGCUUGAAAAGAGGAUUUUGGAGAGAGAAGGCUUAGAGGAGAAGGGUAUUGGAGCAAGUGGAGUGUGGAAAUCAGCUCUUAUCUCAGUCAUCAUCUUCUGGAGGUAAUCAAAUCGCCUUUCUUCUUGUGAAUCUCUUCCAUUGUUGAAGUUUUAGGGUUUUUGGUGAAGUAUUAAGUUGAAAGGAUGAGCUAUGGGCUAGAUCUGAGGUUGUAACUUCAGAUCUAGACCCUCCUUGGAGGCUAGAAUCACAAAGUUGUUGUAUUGGUUGUGAUUGAGGUCACUCUUAGAUUUGAAGCUUCAUUAAGAACUUAAAAUAGAUAUUUAGAGCCUCUAUAGCCAUGCAUGCACGUAAAGUUUGCAACUUUACGUGAUAAGUAUGCCCUAGAAGCUUGGAUCUGUGAAUUGGGGCCGCUGCAUGGCUCAAACCAAGUCUGUAUGGAAAAAGAACUGUAUGGACUCGGCGAGUCAUAUGAAGAUGGCCGUGAACUCGACGAGUUGAAGAACAACUCGGCGGGUCGGAUGAGUUUUCCCUAGAUUAUGUAUGCGUGUGUAUCUGUCGAGUUGCGAGGAGGGAACUCGACGUGUUACCUUAAGUUUGAUCGAGGAUCAAAGGAACUCGACGAGUCACUCCGAUUACUCGGCGAGUUGGAAUGUACUUCAGGGAACUCGGCGAGUAGCCAAGGGUACUCGGUGAGUUAAGGUUAACAUGGACUGUUGACCUUGAUUGAGGACUUUGACUUUGACCAGGGGUUGACUAGUGGUUUAUGGAGUACCUUGUAAGGUUAAGGACUUAUGAGUAUGAUGUACUAUGAUGAUAGGUGGUGGAACCUGUGUCAAGUGAUCCGAGAGUUGGAGUUUACCUUUCCUGUCGACAUCUGCAAGGUGAGUUAUCCUCACUAUAUCUAUAGGGUCUACGACACAAAGGUCGGCCCUUUAGUUGUUAUUGUUAUGGUAUGUUGCAUGUAGUUAUGAUUUGUUAGUUCGGAAUCAAGGUAGACUGUAUGUUAUGCUUUUAUGAUCCGUAGGGAUUGGUGUGUUAGUGACCUGAUAGGUCGGUACUCUAGUUACAGGAGAAUUAUAUGAUUAUGAUUAGUGAGAUAGAUAUGCUUGAUGUUUGUAUAUGCCGGUAUAUGAUAGCUAUACGCACAUGGUUAUUUGCUUGUUGGUUGGGUUGAGGUGGUCCUGCUUUGUGCUGAAGGCCAACAUACCUUAUGAGCGCUCCGGGGAGAUUGUAGGCCCACGUGGCGGACCAGUCAUGCCGAAGGCUCGGGAUAGAUUCAGACAGACUGUAGGCCCGGUAGGGCGGUCCAGUCAGGCCGAUGACCCAGUAUACAUGAUGAUUGAUUGAUUAUUACUGAUAUGGUAUUGUCAGUGUGGUACUGGUAUUUUGGGGGUAGCUCACUAAGCCCUCGGGCUUACAGUUUUCAGUUUAUUGUUUCAGGUACUUCAGGAGUUCAUGGAAAGGCGAAGGCAUGACCGUACCGCUCCUCAUCCUUAUGUUAUGAUUUUUGGGACACUCUGAUGGAAAAUGAUUUGAAAAUAUUUUGUAAACGAUGCUUUACGAUUUCUAUUUAUGAUUGAAAA